GAAUAUUGCGCAAUGGUCGAAAGACUGACGCAGCGACGCCGCGUGGAGGAUGACGCCCUUCGGGGUGUAAACUCCUGUUGCUCGGGACGAACCGUGGAAUUCAUUCCACCUGACGGUACCGAGUGAGGAAGCACCGGCUAACUCUGUGCCAGCAGCCGCGGUAAUACAGCGGGUGCGAGCGUUGUCCGGAAUCACUGGGCGUAAAGGGCGCGUAGGCGGUGCGACAAGCGUGCGGUGAAAGCUCGGGGCUCAACCCCGAGUCGGCCGUGCGAACUGUCGGACUUGAGCACAGUAGAGGCAGAUGGAAUUCCGGGUGUAGCGGUGGAAUGCGUAGAGAUCCGGAAGAACACCGGUGGCGAAGGCGGUCUGCUGGGCUGUGGCUGACGCUGAGGCGCGACAGCGUGGGGAGCAAACAGG
rnacentral:rRNA from 1 species